UGCGGGAUGGUGUAAUGGUAGCACAGCAGGCUCUGAACCUGUUAAUCUAGGUCCGACUCCUAGUCCCGCAG
rfam:Candidatus Daviesbacteria bacterium RIFCSPLOWO2_01_FTLL_39_12 rifcsplowo2_01_scaffold_11998, whole genome shotgun sequence.